rnacentral:rRNA from 1 species
GACGAACGCUGGCGGCGUGCUUAACACAUGCGAGUCGAACGGAAAGGCCUGCUUUCCCUUGUGGAUUGCGGGUACUCGAGUGGCGAACGGGUGAGUAACACGUGAGUGAUCUGCCCCCAACUUGGGUAUAAGCCUGGGAAACUGGGUCUAAUUCCCGAUAGGACUGCAGGGUGGUGCCUGUGGUGGAAAACGAUUUUCUAGUGGUUGGGGAUGAGCUCGCGGCCUAUCAGCUUGUUGGUGGGGUAAUGGCCUACCAAGGCGGCGACGGGUAGCCGGCCUGAGAGGGUGGACGGCCACAUUGGGACUGAGAUACGGCCCAGACUCCUACGGGAGGCAGCAGUGGGGAAUAUUGCACAAUGGGCGGAAGCCUGAUGCAGCGACGCCGCGGGGGGGAUGACGGCCUUCGGGUUGUAAACUCCUUUCGACCGCGAGGAAGCCACCUGGUUGGAAGGGUGGUGACGGUAGUGGUAGAAGAAGCACCGGCUAACUACGUG